CCCUUUACGAAACCCAUGAAGAAAAAUAUAUAUAUAUAGAUGAGCCAAUAUGCCCAAAAUGUCCAUAACUUUUUCAUAGUUACACCGAUCUUGAAAUCUUUGACAAAUUGAAACAAACCAAAAUAAAAGAAAAGCAUACCCAUUUCUACCUAUGCUUUCUUCCCAUUUUUUCCUCUGUUCAUUCUUUUGUUGAGAGCUUCAAUGAAGCAGAAGACAUCAAAAGAUCAUAAUUCCCAGAUGGUUUCUUCUUUGGAACAUCCACUUCUUCAUACCAAAUUGCAUGGAGGAGCCUGGGUCUGGUGCUGUAACAAUUAUUGAGAAUAAAAAGGUGUCUGUCGGGACAGUGGACUGGGUUCGAAGGAGAAAGAUUUGGGGAAGUCAAUCCAACUAGUAUCAUGUUCUAUAACAAAAUCAUUGACAAUCUUUUGCUCAAAGGUACUGUCACAUGCCAAGGUUGCCAAGCUUUACCAUGAGCAUUUUUAGCCAAAACACAGUAUUCAGAAGAAUCGUGGCAUGUGCAUUCAUUUACGAGACAAUGAAUUUGAUAAAGAAGCAAGUAGGGCCUUGGCUUUCGAUUUGGCCUGGUAAAACAAUGACAACCCUUACACACCAUAAGAAAUCUAUGUGAGCAAUGGCUUUACAUCCCAAAGAGUAUGUAUCUAUAAAUGUAAUUUGUUCUUUUGCAAGCUGAGUGUUUAUACCAUCGAAUCAACCCAUGAUGGUGCACUCGCAAGAAGAUAUAUGGGUAAAUUUUGUACCGUUUAAAACUUGAAG